rnacentral:rRNA from 1 species
CCCUUAGUUAUCCUAGGUCGCACGCGCCAUACAAUGUGGCGCACAACGAGUCUCCUUGGCCGACAGGAUGUCCCGCGAGCGAUCGGCGACGCAGCCAGCUCGGUCUUCGGGCAGACUCGGUGAGAGUGGCCCGUCCUCCUGAGAGGGCGAUCGUCGAUGCCUCGGGAUUCUGGGCAAUCUGGCAGAGCGCUACGUGACUGGGCUAGACUUUUGUAAUUUUUGGUCUUGAACGAGGAAUGCCUAGUAAUCGCAGGUCAGCAUCCUGCGAUGAUUCGGUCCCUGCCCUUUGUACACACCGCCCGUCGCUCCAUCCGUGGCAUGCGCCGGUGAAGAGGGGGAGGCAGCGUCGGCCGUGUAACAGCGGAUCGUACGUGGAACCCCUCUGAACCUUCGCACGUAGGGGAAGGAGAAGUCGUAACA